CCUACGUGUGGCCGCAGUGAGGAAUAUUGGUCAAUGGACGCAAGUCUGAACCAGCCAUGCCGCGUGCAGGAAGACGGCUCUAUGAGUUGUAAACUGCUUUUGUACGAGGGUAAACGCAGAUACGCGUAUCUGUCUGAAAGUAUCGUACGAAUAAGGAUCGGCUAACUCCGUGCCAGCAGCCGCGGUAAUACGGAGGAUUCAAGCGUUAUCCGGAUUUAUUGGGUUGAAAGGGUGCGUAGGCGGUUCGUUAAGUUAGAGGUGAAAGCCCGGGGCUCAACUCCGGCACUGCCUCUGAUACUGUCGGGCUAGAGUUUAGUUGCGGUAGGCGGAAUGUAUGGUGUAGCGGUGAAAUGCAUAGAGAUCAUACAGAACACCGAUUGCGAAGGCAGCUUACCAAACUACGACUGACGUUGAGGCACGAAAGCGUGGGGAGCAAACAGGAUUAGAUACCCUAGUAGUC
rnacentral:rRNA from 1 species